UUCCUGUACCACCUAUAAUCGUUUUAAUCGAUGGGGGGACGCAGUAGGAUAGGCGAAGCGUGCGAUUGGAUUGCACGUCUAAGCAGUAAGGCUGAGUAUUAGGCAAAUCCGGUACUCGUUAAGGCUGAGCUGUGAUGGGGAGAAGACAUUGUGUCUUCGAGUCGUUGAUUUCACACUGCCGAGAAAAGCCUCUAGAUAGAAAAUAGGUGCCCGUACCGCAAACCGACACAGGUAGUCAAGAUGAGAAUUCUAAGGUGAGCGAGCGAACUCUCGUUAAGGAACUCGGCAAAAUGACCCCGUAACUUCGGGAGAAGGGGUGCUCUUUAGGGUUAACGCCCAGAAGAGCCGCAGUGAAUAGGCCCAAGCGACUGUUUAUCAAAAACACAGGUCUCUGCUAAACCGUAAGGUGAUGUAUAGGGGCUGACGCCUGCCCGGUGCUGGAAGGUUAAGAGGAGUGGUUAGCUUCUGCGAAGCUACGAAUCGAAGCCCCAGUAAACGGCGGCCGUAACUAUAACGGUCCUAAGGUAGCGAAAUUCCUUGUCGGGUAAGUUCCGACCCGCACGAAAGGCGUAACGAUUUGGGCACUGUCUCAACGAGAGACUCGGUGAAAUCAUAGUACCUGUGAAGAUGCAGGUUACCCGCGACAGGACGGAAAGACCCCGUGGAGCUUUACUGUAGCCUGAUAUUGAAAUUCGGCACAGCUUGUACAGGAUAGGUAGGAGCCUUUGAAACGUGAGCGCUAGCUUACGUGGAGGCGCUGGUGGGAUACUACCCUAGCUGUGUUGGCUUUCUAACCCGCACCACUUAUCGUGGUGGGAGACAGUGUCAGGCGGGCAGUUUGACUGGGGCGGUCGCCUCCUAAAAGGUAACGGAGGCGCUCAAAGGUUCCCUCAGAAUGGUUGGAAAUCAUUCAUAGAGUGUAAAGGCAUAAGGGAGCUUGACUGCGAGACCUACAAGUCGAGCAGGGUCGAAAGACGGACUUAGUGAUCCGGUGGUUCCGCAUGGAAGGGCCAUCGCUCAACGGAUAAAAGCUACCCCGGGGAUAACAGGCUUAUCUCCCCCAAGAGUUCACAUCGACGGGGAGGUUUGGCACCUCGAUGUCGGCUCAUCGCAUCCUGGGGCUGUAGUCGGUCCCAAGGGUUGGGCUGUUCGCCCAUUAAAGCGGUACGCGAGCUGGGUUCAGAACGUCGUGAGACAGUUCGGUCCCUAUCCGUCGUGGGCGUAGGAAAUUUGAGAGGAGCUGUCCUUAGUACGAGAGGACCGGGAUGGACAUACCUCUGGUGUACCAGUUGUCGUGCCAACGGCAUAGCUGGGUAGCUAUGUGUGGACGGGAUAAGUGCUGAAAG
rnacentral:rRNA from 1 species